GACUUUUCUUUAUAUUUUUUAUUUCAGGUAUCUUAACAACAAUUAUUUUACUGGAGGCAUUCCAGCACAGCUUGCAAAUUUGACUAACUUAGAGAUCUUAUAUUUAUCCUACAACAAGAUGUCUGGAAUUGUACCACUUGGGCUUGCUCGUAUUCCUAGGUUGACUUACCUGUAUCUGGAUCACAACCAAUUAUCAGGGAGGAUUCCCGAUGCCUUUUACAAGCACCGGUUCUUAAAAGAAAUGUACAUUGAAGGAAAUUUAUUCCGGCCAGGUGUGAACCCAAUUGGCGUCCACCAAGUCCUAGAACUCUCCGACUCAGAGUUUCUAUUCUAGAUAAAAGAAUCAUCUCAAGUUUUGAUCUUUUAAUGGGAGGACCUAUUUAUUUAUUUAUUGCCGAAAGGAAUCCAUUAACCACGAUGUCACAAGAUCACAGUUUGAUAAUGAAAGCGUGGAUGAGUUCUUAGGCUUUUAAGUUGCAAGAACUGUAUAUAAGAUUCAAUUUUUUGUCUUUUAUAUUUUACUCACUGUUAAAGUUACCUUGUCUAAAAGUUACAAACAUGUUUGUUUAACACAGAUUUGUCUAAAAGUUUUAGCUAUUCUUCGAA